rnacentral:sRNA from 1 species
CUUGGGCCUGGGGUUUUGAUAGGGCAGACAUCAUCACGGGCUCGGGCAGCAAUCCUGGGAAGACGCGUCCAGAAGCGUGAAGUUCCUCUGGGAAAAGAGAGGGCUCCAGGGUGGCCGCUGUCCAGAAGGCCCUGUGCUGCAGAGCUGCUUCGGGUGUGGGAGGGGCUGCAGAGCUGGGGCACGGGGGUGCUGGCAGGAACUCAGGGCUCUCUGGGUCUGCUCCAGGCUUCCCCCCAGCCUGCCGGCCAGUUGACGCUACCAGUUCUUGGGAGGGGCUUCUGCUGAGAUGAGGUUUCUUCCAGGGGUGAAGGGUGGAGCCAGGUAGAUGCAGCGGUAGCAUCUGAGCUCCUGUCCCAGCUCCAGGAAGGGGAGUUCUGGGUGGAGGAGGAAGAGUUCCUCAGGGAGUUUGACGAGCUCACAGUUGGCUACCCGGUCACGGAGGCCGGCCACCUGCAGAGCCUCUACACAGAGAAGCUGCUCUGCCAUACUCGGUCACUGCCUGGGGCCUGGGUCAAGGGGCAGUCAGCAGGAGGCUGCCGGAACAACAGC